rnacentral:rRNA from 1 species
AGCGCACGCUGGCGGCAGGCCUAACACAUGCAAGUCGAACGAAGCCUUCGGGCUUAGUGGCGGACGGGUGAGUAACACGUGGGAACGUACCUUUUGGUUCGGAAUAACGCAGAGAAAUUUGCGCUAAUACCGAAUGAGCCCUUCGGGGGAAAGAUUUAUCGCCGAACGAUCGGCCCGCGUUGGAUUCGGUAGUUGGUGUGGUAAAGGCGCACCAAGCCUACGAUCCAUAGCUGGUCUGAGAGGAUGAUCAGCCACACUGGGACUGAGACACGGCCCAGACUCCUACGGGAGGCAGCAGUGGGGAAUCUUGCGCAAUGGGCGAAAGCCUGACGCAGCCAUGCCGCGUGAAUGAUGAAGGUCUUAGGAUUGUAAAAUUCUUUUACCAGGGACGAUAAUGACGGUACCUGGAGAAAAAGCCCCGGCUAACUUCGUGCCAGCCGCCGCCGUAAGAC